AAUGAAUUUUGCAUUUUGCAAAGGACCAACGGUUUUUCAAAUGAGUUUUGUAGUCUGUAAUUUUUGUGAUUUUAAACAGGAAAUAUAGGAGCUGUGGUGAUGAAAUUUUCCAACACAAAAGAAAAAGACAUAGAAGCAGUAUGGUAAUCAAAUACUGGCUGAAGUCUCCAGAAACUCGGUUUACCAGCAAAGAGAAAUCUAAAAAUGUUCAAACACCGGAUCCUGGAGGAAAAUCUGAAUGCUACAAAAAUUGAGAUUGAAUUGAGGUGCAGUAACAUAAACCAGUAUGUAGCUCAAAAGUAUGUUGCUACUUUGAACAGGAAGAGAUCGAAGUAUUCUGGAGCACCACAAUAAGGACAUUUUUUAAUAGAUAAAUGACAUGCAUAUGAGUUAUUUUAAUAAACAAACUUCUCACAUUAUUUAUGUCUUAACUAUUCACAUCCCUUAAUUUUUCAUCAAUAUGUCAAUAGACAUCUAUUCACUGAAUCCAAUUCACUUAUAUUAAUUAUAGAUUAUUAAACUUCUGUAUGUGUAAAGGAUGAUUUUGUAACG